rnacentral:rRNA from 1 species
GACGAAGGAUGCAAGCGUUAUCCGGAUUCAUUGGGUUUAAAGGGCGCGUAGGCGGUCUUGUAAGUCAGUGGUGAAAUCUCGAGGCUUAACCUCGAAAUUGCCAUUGAUACUGCAGGACUUGAGUACAGUUGCCGUUGGCGGAAUAUGACAUGUAGUGGUGAAAUACAUAGAGAUGUCAUAGAACACCGAUUGCGAAGGCAGCUAACGAAACUGUAACUGACGCUGAGGCUCGAAAGUGUGGGGAUCAAACAGG